rnacentral:rRNA from 1 species
GCCUACGGGACGCCGCAGUCGCGCCUCCUUCCCACUUUUUUCCCCCCUGAUGGUGCGACGCCGCGUGGGGGAAUGAAGGUCUUCGGAUUGUAAACCCCUGUCAUGUGGGAGCAAAUUAAAAAGAUAGUACCACAAGAGGAAGAGACGGCUAACUCUGUGCCAGCAGCCGCGGUAAUACAGAGGUCUCAAGCGUUGUUCGGAAUCACUGGGCGUAAAGCGUGCGUAGGCUGUUUCGUAAGUCGUGUGUGAAAGGCGCGGGCUCAACCCGCGGACGGCACAUGAUACUGCGAGACUAGAGUAAUGGG